rnacentral:misc_RNA from 1 species
AAGUCGUAACAAGGUUUCCGUAGCCUGCGGAAGGAUCAUUAACACGUAUCCAAACGUUAAAACCCCCCCCGUGAACCUUCAUCGUGCUCUUGCAACCCGCGUAGUUCGCAAUCUCUGAUAAAUCAUAGCCCGGAAAGUUGUAGUGAUUCAGAGACCUCUGGCUACGUGGAACAGUUACAAUUGAGCGAACAAUGGAUAUCUUGGUUCUC